UGAGCACUAUUAGUCAGCCCUCUGCUGCCUUGGUUCUUGGCUGGUGUGUUCACACAGACUGAAAUCAGAGCCUGUCCAAACCAAUAAGCCACACUCUGGAUGGAACAUCUGAAAGGCAGAACGCCCACCUACACUUUUAAUGUAGUGGUCAUCACUGGCAGAAAAACUGAGAGGUGUGGGAGGGUGCAGUCCUGAGAUAAGUGAGCUUUCUCAUCAUUUGAAGCUUAAGCGUGAGCCAUUACUCAGCUAAAAGUCCAGAAGGAAUGUUGUCAGAAGGGUUCUUACCCAGCUCUGGGACAACAGCUCUCUGGAAAAUGUGCUGGAAUACCAAGACCUACCAGAGUGUGCCAGUUUGUGGAAUUAUAUAUCCAAAGAGAUGGUGAAAAAAGUUAACAGCACUUUAUGGCAGUGUCACACAAAGAAAAGUUACAUCAUCUGCAAACCAAGUGAACAAUGAACAGUACCACAGUGAUAGCUUUAUUUUUACUGCAAGAAGAUGCACCUUAUUUGUAACGCUGAGGGAGAGGGAAGCUUUUAAUUUUCCAGGAAAGCAAGGUAAAAUGAAAUUUCACUUUUCAAUGUGACAGCAACUUUAAAAAAAAAAAAGGGGGGGGGGGGCGUGGAGAAAAGAAGGAAAAGAGACACCAUGGUUGCAAAACUCAACAGAACAACACAUGGAACCCAAGUGAGAU
rnacentral:lncRNA from 1 species